ACCUAAAGAAAAAGGAGGAAACUGAGUGAGUGAGUAAGUGAGUAAGAAACAAUGGCUUCUGAAGAUGUGAAAGUUGGAGCAAACAAAUUCUCAGAGAGGCAUGCAUUGGGCACAGAAGCUCAGGGUGACAAGGACUACAAGGAGCCACCUCCAGCACCCUUGUUUGAGCCAGGGGAGCUGAAGUCAUGGUCAUUUUACAGAGCUGGAAUUGCUGAGUUUGUAGCCACCUUCUUGUUCCUCUACAUCACUGUCUUAACUGUCAUGGGUGUCAAUAGGUCACCCAACAAGUGUUCCUCUGUUGGCAUCCAAGGUAUUGCUUGGGCUUUUGGUGGCAUGAUCUUUGCCCUUGUCUACUGCACAGCUGGAAUAUCAGG
rnacentral:lncRNA from 1 species